CAAAAACUGAGUUCAAAGUGCAAAAGGAGUUUGCACUCUGUUAAUUCAGCAGAAUGGAAAGGAAAAGGUGGGAAUUUGCCCUUCCUAGUAGAAUCUUGUAAAAACAAAGCGCUGUAGUCUUUUCUAGCUUUUGUGAUUUUCCUUAGUAAUGACUUCGACCACCUUGAAAACAUUCUGCUUAGCCAUAUAUGUCCCAGCACAAGUACGCUUGUGCAAAAUUUCAGAUUAGGUCAGAACUCGGAUCUGGACAUACAAAUUUCGACAUAUGAAGGUGAAUUCCAAGAUACGUAGACAUCUGUACAUAUCUACAAAUAAGGAAAUGCCAGAAAAUGUUGGUGAUUCAAUUAAGGAGGAAGUUUGCAAACAAAGCUCUUCAGCAGGAAGAUGGAGUGACAGCACCCCGCCCCCAUGGCUGAAACCGAGCAUAAGCCUCCAAGAUGCCGAAGAUGGGAAAAACCUAUAUAUACCUUUAUCUAUGUACAUUUCUCUGUCUUGUCAGUGUAUAAACAACAUUGAAUGCUUGCCGCAUAUGUAUGUUCUGUGAUUCGCCCUUAGUCCCCUUCGGGGUGAGAGGGUAGAAUAUAAAUACUGUAAAUAAAUAUAUAAAUAAAUAAGGACAUGAGGCUAAGAUAAACUGCAACAGUCCCCAUCCAUGAUAUGAGGCCUUCCGACCACCACCCUUUCUGGACCAGCAGCAAAACCCAACUUCAUGAAGCCCAUUUCCCUUUCCAUGUACAUAUUUUGGCUCAGCUGUUUAAUUUAAGUCAGUCCGGAUCAGCACAUAGGCGGAGAGGACCACCAUUCCUCAGGAUAUGGCAGGGUCGAGUGUGGGUCGCCUGGAGCUGAGCGCACCUGAGGGUCCCCACCGGUGACACUCAAGCUUACCAAAUGUUUGUCCAGGUCCUGAUGCUGCAGUGGCCAAAGGAAGCUUCCUGCUUCCCAACUGCUAACAGAUCCACACCAGUGAUCAUCCAAAGAAAGCCUAGCCCUGGUGCAGAUCUCUCUAGGGACACACAACCAUCAUUAUAGCAAAACUGACACAUAAUUCCUAUGAUGCUACAAUGUAUCUCUAUUUUUGUGCACGCAGAACUCGAAAAGUAGUUGGCUGAUCAACUUGAAAUUUUGACACAACAUGACAUACCAAUACACAUGUUUUAGUUUAGGGAAGUGAAAACCACGGAUGAUAGGAUAUGCAGUACUUUCAAUCACUUCACCUCCCACAGACCACUGCGACUUGCACCAGUGACAGAUCAGGACCAAACCUGGCACAGAGACCCCCAUGCCCCACUUUAUGUCCAGGUGCGGUUAGGGCAAGACAAACAACAGAUGAUGGGAUUUGCAAUACCUUCACCCAAAUCAGACCACUGCAACCCCCACGAAUGACGGACCUGGGCCAUAUUUGGCACACAGACACCCCAUUACUCACUUCACGUCCUGGUGCUGAUAGGAGGAGGAUGGACCAUGAAUGAUGGGAUUUGGAGUACUUUCACCCAAUUCAGCUCCAACGUCAACAAACAACUGAGAUCCACACAAAUGAUGGACCUUGACAAAACUUGGAACACAGACUCUCCAUGACCAACAGAAAAUACUGGAGAAGUUUGGGGAAUAUUGACCUUGAUUGAUGGAAUUUAUAGUUCACCUGCAUCCAGAUAAACUGUGACCCCCCCCCCCCCCCACUGACAAUGGACUGGGACCAAACUUGACACAGACAACCCCCAUGACCAACUGAACAUACUGCUGUAGUUUAUGGGCAUUGACCUUGAUUAUGAGAACUGUAGUUCACCCUUAUUCAGAGUGCACUAAACCCAGCCAACAACAGAUCUGGGCCAAACCUGGCACACAGACCCAACAUGGUCAACUCUACAUACAUGCAGGAGUUGGGGGUGAUUGCCCUGAGAAUCCUACUCAUUCCGACUGACAUGGUGUUCGAGUUCACACGACUUCAACUUUCAAUACGCCUUGCGAUCGCAAUGACUAUCAAUAAAGCACAGGGGCAAUCUUU